rnacentral:tRNA from 1 species
GCCAUGGCUCAUUGGUAGAGCAUCUGCUUGGUAUACAGAAGGUUGCCGGUUCAAUCCCCAGUAUCUCCA